rnacentral:rRNA from 1 species
UACAUGCAAGUCGAACGGUCGUUUCUAUGGAAGCUUGCUUCUACUGAGAAGAUAGUGGCGAACGGGUGAGGUAACACGUGGGUAACCUGCCCAUAGGAGGGGGGAGUAACAUCCGGAAACGGGUGCUAAUACCGCAUAGUUUUCUUGAUCGCAUGGUCGGGAAGGAAAGACGGCCUUUGUGCUGUCGCUUAUGGAUGGACCCGCGGCGUAUUAGUUAGUUGGUGAGGUAACGGCUCACCAAGACGAUGAUACGUAGCCGACCUGAGAGGGUGAUCGGCCACAUUGGGACUGAGACACGGCCCAAACUCCUACGGGAGGCAGCAGUAGGGAAUCUUCCGCAAUGGACGAAAGUCUGACGGAGCAACGCCGCGUGAGUGAAGAAGGUUUUCGGAAUCGUAAAACUCUGUUGUCAGAGAAGAACAAGUUGGAGAGUAACUGCUCCAGCCUUGACGGUAUCUGACCAGAAAGCCACGGCUAACUACGUGCCAGCAGCUGC